rnacentral:lncRNA from 1 species
CAAAAAAAAAAAAACCCAUAUUUUUUUCAAUUCUAGGGUUGAAAACCCUAAUUGCUUCAAAAUUAAUUUCGAUGCUUUGACUCACAAAUUCCACAUAGCAUAAUUGUGUAUUGCAUGAACAAGUAUAUAUAUAUAUUGACAAAAUAUAUAAUUGGAAGGAAAAUAUAAAUAUAGGGAGUUCAUGCAUCAUGAGGAAUGUUUUUAUGCUUCAAGGUUUUUUCAAAUAUCUUAAUUUAUUAUAAAGGAACCUAAUUGGUAGAAAACAACUAAGCUUUUGAAUUUGUAGAAUAUCCUUCUCGGAAAUCUGGAAGUGCAUCUCCAAUAUGUUGUAUCACGUUCAACACAGAAAAAAUAAAUUGAAUCAAUAACAUGUAGACCAAUUUAAUAAAAUAAUAAAUUAAUCAUAAAAAAAAUGAUUAAAACGUAAUACUCCCCUAAUUGAAAAGCAAACUCUCUUUAGCGCAACGUCAAGAGCGUGAUGAUAACAUGUUGUAAACAAAAUUUAUUGAAGGAUUAUGGAGGCCAUAGAGAGAGAGGUGCGGCAAUAGUAGAGAGAAAGAGAGAGAUGUGUAAUUGUGAGGUUUGUUCUAUUCCACCCAAUAGUGCUUUUAUUUAUAGUAGUAUUGAAGGUAAAUUCUUUACCCAAAUAGGAUUACAACUCUAAUAGGAUAAUAUCUAGUCUAAGAGAUAUGGUAGAAUCUCAUAAGGACAUCCUAUAUAUGUUAGGAUUUACACAAUCACAUUCAUAAUCUAAUAGGACUGAACAUAAACAAUUAUGUAUUUUUUUAA